rnacentral:rRNA from 1 species
AACGUAGGAGACAAGCAUUAUCCAGAAUUACUGGGCGUAAAGCGCGCGCAGGCGGUCGAGCAAGUGCGACGUGAAAGCUCCCAGCUAAACUGGGAGAGGACGCAGCAGACUGUUAGACUAGAGGGCGAUAGAAGGAUGCGGAAUUCGGGGUGUAGCGGUGAAAUGUGUAGAGAUCCCAAAGAACACCAGUGGUGAAAACGGCAUUCUGGAUCGCUUCUGACGCUGAGGCGCGAAAACUUGGGGAGCGAACGGG